UACGUAGGGGGCAAGCGUUGUCCGGAAUUAUUGGGCGUAAAGCGCGCGCAGGCGGUUUUUUAAGUCUGGUGUCUAAGGCCGAGGCUCAACCUCGGUUCGCAUCGGAAACUGGGAGACUGGAGUGCAGGAGAGGGAAGCGGAAUUCCACGUGUAGCGGUGAAAUGCGUAGAGAUGUGGAGGAACACCAGUGGCGAAGGCGGCUUCCUGGCCUGUAACUGACGCUGAGGCGCGAAAGCUAGGGGAGCAAACGGGG
rnacentral:rRNA from 1 species